rnacentral:lncRNA from 1 species
ACAGGAGCUCAGAGCUACGAGCUUUCUAAAGCAUGCUUGUUAAUACGUUUGAGAGGCAUCAUGAGCAUCGCUAUGCACUUGUUGCGAACACCGUGAUCGAUGAUUAAUUAAUGUACCAUCUGGCAUGGCGACGGGUACUGCCGGAGGAUUCCAACUCGCCGGAGGGAAGCAGAUAAGUUUUGCUCCUUCUACCGAACGAUUACCAGCUAGCA